rnacentral:rRNA from 1 species
UACGUAGGGCGCAAGCGUUAUCCGGAAUUAUUGGGCGAAAGAGCUCGUAGGCGGUUUGUCGCGUCUGCCGUGAAAGUCCGGGGCUCAACUCCGGAUCUGCGGUGGGUACGGGCAGACUAGAGUGAUGUAGGGGAGACUGGAAUUCCUGGUGUAGCGGUGAAAUGCGCAGAUAUCAGGAGGAACACCGAUGGCGAAGGCAGGUCUCUGGGCUGACACUGACGUCAUGCACAAAGCG